rnacentral:rRNA from 1 species
UACGUAGGGUGCGAGCGUUAAUCGGAAUUACUGGGCGUAAAGCGUGCGCAGGCGGUUUGCUAAGACAGGUGUGAAAUCCCCGGGCUUAACCUGGGAACUGCGCUUGUAACUGGCAAGCUUGAGUGUGGCAGAGGGGGGGUGGAAUUCCGACGUGUAGCAGUGAAAUGCGUAGAGAUGUGGAGGAACACCGAUGGCGAAGGCAGCCCCCCUAGGCUAACACUGACGCUCAUGCACGAAAGCGUGGGGAGCAAACAGG